GGUGGCUUAGUGGUAGAGUGCUUACCUCACAUGUAUGAAGCCCUGGGUUCGAUUCCUCAGUACCA
rnacentral:tRNA from 1 species